UGUUCUUACCAGAAUCCCUUCUAUUUUAGGGGAAUUACGCACAUACAUUCCAAAAGAUAGAGUAAUUAAGAUUAAUGAAAAUAAUUUUGCACUUAUAUUUGUAUUACUUAAUUUUCAACGCCCGCGGUUCUUAUCAUCAUUUUAUUGAUAUUAAAAAUGGAGACUGUGGCAAAGGGACUGGUAUUCGGGUUGGGAGUGGCGAUAGCACUGGUUGCGGUAGCGGUCGACUGGUGGCGGCACCGGAAUAUACCCGAGCCGCAGACUGUAUACGGCCAACGCGCUCCACGCAGAAAUACCUAAACUGUUUACAUGAAAUACGUUUACCAACCGUAUAUGGGACACAUCUCAAUGUAUAAGCAAUAUUAAGCAAUAUAAUUUUAAUAGUAUUUUGAUAAUUUUA